AGCAGAGGAGAAGCUGGCUCAGGGAGGUGCCUCCCCCUGCCCUCCUCCAGAUGUGACCUGGGGACAUCUAUAGUAACACCCAGAGACUCCUCUCUAGGGCAGUCAUCCAACCCAGACCCCCUUACACCAGGAGCAGACCGUGAGGAAGAGGAAUGGCAGUCUUGCUGGAAGGCUGGAAGGGAGGAAAUGGAGAAGCCUUGUCCUUGACCACCCUCCCCCAACCACCACUGUGUGAACAGAAGGCCUGAGUCUCCAGGGGCCAUGGCCUCAGUGCCCUGACAAAGCAGUGGGCCAGGAACCCCAGAGCCACCCGCUGCAAAACCAGGGGUGGGGCCAGGCCCUGAGGCCUCUGGCAGCCAAGGAGCACCCACAGCUUGGGGGCGGCAGGGCUGGGGGACAAUGCUGCAACUGAGAGACCUGACAGCAGAUUCCAGCCACUCCACAGCGCCCCAAAACAGUAAGGAGAAGGGGAAUCAGCAUGGGCUGGAGAUGUCCUGGAGAAGGUGGAACCUGAGCUGUCCUCUGUAAGAGUUCCCUACAGCUUUCCGUUCUGGCCAUACCUAUGAUGCUUUCACGCAGCUGCCAAGGUCCUGGAAUUGAGGGAGGAUGCCAAAGGAUGCCAAACCACAGGCGCAGAGGCGAGAGCCGGAGGAAAGGGACUAGUGUGCCUCCAGUGUCUGCUCUGGGCCUUGCCGGCUCCAAGGGAGAAGUACACAGGGGCCUUUGUCUGUGGCUGAAGCUUCUUGGAAUGAGAGUCUGAACAUUGGAUGAAUGUGGGCAGCGCUGAGCAAAACUUCAACUGGACCAGCAGUUAAUACGGAUUCACUCUGUGCAAGGCGUUGGGGCAGGGCCUUCAAGGGAACUGGAGAUGAGCAGGAGGGGUCUCCACCCUUAAGAGCUCUGGGGACUCUCAAGAGUAGGGACAACAGAUCCACAGACAAUCUCUACAGUGACAAAAGGCCACCGACUGUUACUGACAGGUCACCUGUUGGGCUGGGUCUCCUGGUGAGAAGGAUUCUGGCCUCUGGGGCCUUCAAGUCCCACUCAUUCACCAGCUCGCCAGCAUGCAUUUGGAUAUCCCAUUUCACACAUGCUCAGCUUAAGACUGAUGAGACCCUCAAGUUGGGGGCCCAGGAUCUAGGCUAGAAAUGUCAGGCACCAAAGGCAACGGAUGAGAACACCAAAGAGCAAGUAUGAGAGAAAAGAAACCUGGUGGGAUUAGUGUGGGGUGGGAGGGGGCUGGCAGACAGUAAGGGAGGAGGAGGCAGCCUAGGAGAUGCUGCAUUAUUUUCAUCAAUGAUGAUGUGGGAAACAAAAGCAAAAGAAAAUGAAAUUUCCUUACUGCUGCCUGCAGCCCAAAGACAAGUUCUUGAAACAAGCAGAGUGACCUUCCUCUAGGGACUCAACUGCCUGGAUGUUGGUACUUUGCUAAGGGAAAAAGGCAAUUUCAGCCCAACCCCCUAGAACCCUGUAAGUCUCCUUUAAUAUAAAAAACUCCUUUGGAAACUUCCUUUACCUCUGUGCCAUAAGAUACAUGUUGGCAAUCAUCCCCCAAGCAUAUGACCCACCAAUAUACAUCUGAAGGAUCUCAUGACUCACGUUUUAUUAGUAAUAAAUGACCUUUUCCCAACAAUUCCCUCAAGAUCCUUGCUUCCAGAAUUCCUUAGAGUUACAUGAUACCUAACCCUCUCCCAAAUUGAAGGUAUAUAAUGGGCCACCCCUCAUGACCCCAGUGCAGCUCCUUCUGCCCACGGGUCCUGACCUUUAAUAAAACCACCUUUUUGGGGACACCUGGGUAG